rnacentral:rRNA from 1 species
UAGGGAAUCUUCGGCAAUGGGGGGAACCCUGACCGAGCAACGCCGCGUGAGUGAAGAAGGUUUUCGGAUCGUAAAGCUCUGUUGUUAAGGAAGAACGAGUGUGAGAAUGGAAAGUUCAUACUGUGACGGUACUUAACCAGAAAGGGACGGCUAACUACGUGCCAGCAGCCGCGGUAAUACGUAGGUCCCGAGCGGUGUCCGGAUUUAUUGGGCGUAAAGCGAGCGCAGGCGGUUAGAUAAGUCUGAAGUUAAAGGCAGUGGCUCAACCAUUGUAGGCUUUGGAAACUGGUUAACUUGAGUGCAGAAGGGGGGAGUGGACUUCCAUGUGUAGCGGUGAAAUGCGUAGAUAUAUGGAGGAACACCGGUGGCGAAAGCGGCUCUCUGGUCUGUAACUGACGCGGAGGCUCGAAAGCGUGGGGAGCGAACAGG